CAUGUUAAUUAAAUGUUCGUACUAUGUGCAGGGAGAAGUUGCACAAGCGAGAUGUGAAUUUUUCAUAUGGGCAGAUAUACUUCAUUUGAUAAAGGAGAACAUUCAUAGAAGAGACAAUGCAGUUCGGAAGACGUGGGAUGAUAUAUUUUUGUCUGGGCUUUUGCUUCUCUAGGAGGGUUUGGGCAUUUUAAAACUGUUGAAGGAGGACAAGAAGUUGUAAACCAAGCAGAGAUGGAUGCCAUAUUCUCAUAGUAAAUAAUUGGCUCUAAUUCUCAGUGCACAAACAUUAGAAGAUGCAAGCUUGCUCAGUUGAUUAUUUGGAGUCUUGUUGUUUAUAGUUUUGGAUUUCAAGUUUGCUCAAGUUGAUGUAUUUGAUCUUGCUCAGUUGAUGAUUUGAAUCUUUUAUGAUGUAUUCUCAAAUCAGUUCAUCCGUUGUAUAGUUUUGGAUUUCGAGUUUUUGAUGAUGUAUUCUCAUACUUGUUAUAGUUUUGGACUUCGAGCUUUUAAUGAAGAACUGAACUGCAAUUUUUACUAUUGGCAUUUUUUGAAUUUGCUUCUGAAGUUA